UACGUAGGGUGCGAGCGUUAAUCGGAAUUACUGGGCGUAAAGCGUGCGCAGGCGGCUCGUUAUGUCCGAUGUGAAAGCCCCGAGCUCAACUUGGGAAUGGCAUUGGAAACUGGCGGGCUGGAGUGUGGCAGAGGGGGGUGGAAUUCCCCGUGUAGCAGUGAAAUGCGUAGAGAUGUGGAGGAACACCGAUGGCGAAGGCAGCCCCCUGGGCCAACACUGACGCUCAGGCACGAAAGCGUGGGGAGCAAACAGG
rnacentral:rRNA from 1 species